rnacentral:rRNA from 1 species
CCUAAAGGCGUAAUGAAAGUAAAGAUUNGUCCUUGUGAUAAUUAAGGGAGGAUGAGUUACGUUACGAUGUUACUCCGCACUCCCGGGGCGUCUCGUUCUUUUAUAAGAAGAGGCGCACCCAGAGCGUACACGUUGGGACCCGAAAGAUGGUGAACUAUGCCUGGUCAGGACGAAGUCAGGGGAAACCCUGAUGGAGGUCCGUAGCGAUUCUGACGUGCAAAUCGAUCGUCGGAACUGGGUAUAGGGGCGAAAGACUAAUCGAACCAUCUAGUAGCUGGUUCCCUCCGAAGUUUCCCUCAGGAUAGCUGGCACUCGCGAGUUCUUAUGAACUUAUACGAGUCUCAUCUGGUAAAGCGAAUGAUUAGAGGCCUUGGGGCCGAAACGACCUCAACCUAUUCUCAAACUUUAAAUGGGUGAGAUCUCUGGCUUGCUUGAAUAUAUGAAGCCAUGAGAUUUCGGAUCAGAGUGCCAAGUGG